rnacentral:snRNA from 1 species
CUGUUAACACUUUGGCAGCACAUACACUAAAAUUACAAUGAUACAAAGAUUAGCAUGGCCCCUGCACAAGGAUGGCGUGCAAAUUUGUGAAGCAUUCCAUAUUUUU